UCUCCUCCGCAGGCUGCUGGCCCCCAGGCUGGGCUGGGCGAGUAUCUCUUCGAAAGGCUCAUCUCAAGCACCACUAGGAGC
rnacentral:pre_miRNA from 1 species